GCUGCCACUUUGGCAGCACAUAGACUAAAACUGGACCAUCGCAGAGAAGAUUAGCAUAGUCCCUGUGCAAGGAUGAUAUGCAAAUGUGUGACGCGUUCCAUACUUUU